rnacentral:rRNA from 1 species
UACGUAGGGGGCAAGCGUUGUCCGGAUUUAUUGGGCGUAAAGAGCGUGUAGGCGGCUUGGUAGGUCGCUGUGAAAACUCGAGGCUCAACCUCGAGAUGUCGGCGGAAACCAUCUGGCUAGAGUCCGGAAGAGGAGAAUGGAAUUCCCGGUGUAGCGGUGAAAUGCGCAGAUAUCGGGAAGAACACCCGUGGCGAAGGCGGUUCUCUGGGGACGGUACUGACGCUGAGACGCGAAAGCGUGGGGAGCGAACAGG